AAAAACGCAAUGAACAAGAGUAGUAAGGGCUCAUGUCUACGGUACAGAAAGCUGCGGGUUGAUGCGACGCAGACCGAGAACGCCCUGAACUCGCUUGGAAGCGGUCGUCCUGAUCGGCUUAUUAGUAAGCCUUUAGGGAUGAACGGAUUGACCUCCGUGAUCAGGUGAUCUAGUUAGCAAUGGGCUAACUAGAUCUGAGGUGGGCUCCUUAACGGAGUCAACAAGAGUGGUACCGCGCUGGGUGAAGACCCGUCGUCUCUUAU
rnacentral:ncRNA from 1 species